AUUAGGGUAUCAUGCAUAAGUCGAAACCAAUAUUUACAGCCCAGUUUCAUCCUGAAGCAUAUGGAGGACCGACAGAUACUGAGUUUUUAUUUGAUUAUUUUGUUGAUUUGAUAAAAACAAAGAAGAGUAAUGUAACCCAGGUGAUGAAGAAGGUCGUACCACCAACACAGAACAUUAAACCGGUAUCAAAAGUAUUAGUAUUGGGAAGUGGUGGUUUAUCUAUUGGUCAAGCUGGUGAAUUUGAUUACAGUGGAUCUCAGGCUAUUAAAGCUU